GUACCUGAAGAAAAAGCAUCGGCUAACUCCGUGCCAGCAGCCGCGGUAAUACGAAGGAUGCAAGCGUUAUCCGGAAUCAUUGGGCGUAAAGGGUCCGCAGGUGGCCAAUCAAGUCGGCUGUUAAAGACCGGGGCUUAACUCCGGGCAGGCAGUGGAAACUGAUUAGCUAGAGUACGGUAGGGGUAGAGGGAAUUCCCAGUGUAGCGGUGAAAUGCGUAGAUAUUGGGAAGAACACCGGUGGCGAAAGCGCACUACUAGGCCGAAACUGACACUGAGGGACGAAAGCUAGGGUAGCGAAAGGGAUUAGAUACCCCUGUAGUCUUAGCUGUAAACGAUGGAUACUAGGUGUAGCUCGUAUCGACCCCAGCUGUGCCGAAGCUAACGCGAUAAGUAUCCCGCCUGGGGAGUACGCACGCAAGUGUGAAACUCAAAGGAAUUGACGGGGGCCCGCACAAGCGGUGGAGUAUGUGGUUUAAUUCGAUGCAACGCGAAGAACCUUACCAGGGCUUGACAUGUCGCGAAUCUAGCGGAAACGUUAGAGUGCCUUAGGGAAUGCGAACACAGGUGGUGCAUGGCUGUCGUCAGCUCGUGUCGUGAGAUGUUGGGUUAAGUCCCGCAACGAGCGCAACCCUCGUCCUUAGUUGCCAAUAUUAAGUUAGGCACUCUAGGGAUACUGCCGGGGACAACUCGGAGGAAGGUGGGGAUGACGUCAGGUCAGCAUGCCCCUUACGUCCUGGGCGACACACGUACUACAAUGGUUGGGACAAAGGGCAGCAAGCUCGCGAGAGUAAGCGAAUCUCAUCAAACCCAGCCACAGUUCAGAUUGCAGGCUGCAACUCGCCUGUAUGAAGUAGGAAUCGCUAGUAAUCGCAGGUCAGCAUACUGCGGUGAAUUCGUUCCCGGGCCUUGUACACACCGCCCGUCACACCAUGGAAGCUGGCUACGCCCGAAGUCGUUACCCUAACCCUAAGGGGAGGGGGAUGCCGAAGGUAGAGCUAGUGACUGGGGUGAAGUCGUAACAAGGUAGCCGUACCUGAAGGUGUGGCUGGAUCACCUCCUUU
rnacentral:rRNA from 1 species